rnacentral:rRNA from 1 species
ACGGGUGAGUAACACGUGGGUAACCUGCCCUGUACUCUGGGAUAAGCCUGGGAAACUAGGUCUAAUACCGGAUACGACCUGUCACCGCAUGGUGGUGGGUGGAAAGUUCCGGCGGUAUGGGAUGGACCCGCGGCCUAUCAGCUUGUUGGUGGGGUAAUGGCCUACCAAGGCGACGACGGGUAGCCGGCCUGAGAGGGUGACCGGCCACACUGGGACUGAGACACGGCCCAGACUCCUACGGGAGGCAGCAGUGGGGAAUAUUGCACAAUGGGCGAAAGCCUGAUGCAGCGACGCCGCGUGAGGGAUGACGGCCUUCGGGUUGUAAACCUCUUUCAGCAGGGACGAAGCGCAAGUGACGGUACCUGCAGAAGAAGCACCGGCUAACUACGUGCCAGCAGCCGCGGUAAUACGUAGGGUGCGAGCGUUGUCCGGAAUUAUUGGGCGUAAAGAGCUCGUAGGCGGUUUGUUGCGUCGGCUGUGAAAACUUCACGCUUAACGUGGAGCCUGCAGUCGAUACGGGCAGACUUGAGUUCGGCAGGGGAGACUGGAAUUCCUGGUGUAGCGGUGAAAUGCGCAGAUAUCAGGAGGAACACCGGUGGCGAAAGCGGGUCUCUGGGCCGAUACUGACGCUGAAGAGCGAAAGCGUGGGGAGCGAACAGGAUUAGAUACCCUGGUAGUCCACGCCGUAAA